AACGGAAGGGGCAAGCGUUGUUCGGAAUCAUUGGGCGUAAAGGGCGCGUAGGUGGUUCUGUAUGUCUGCCGUGAAAGCGUACGGCUCAACCGUAUUUUGUCGGUAGAAACUGCAGGACUUGAGGCUGGGAGGGGCUGGUGGAAUUCCCUGUGUAGCGGUGAAAUGCGUAGAGAUGGGGGAGAACACUCGUGGCGAAGGCGGCCAGCUAGACCAGUUCUGACACUGAGGCGCGACAGCGUGGGGAGCAAACAGG
rnacentral:rRNA from 1 species